rnacentral:misc_RNA from 1 species
GAAAGAGUACAGUGGAUAGCACGAUCACAUCAGAAGCGUCUUCGAUCCAAAAUUCCCAGAAAGACGAGGACUUGCCGUCAAAAAUUUGGCGAAGAAUCCAAACCAGUGAUCGGCCAAACCCAAAACAGAACCCAGUGCCGACCUUCUAGAAAAGUCCACUCAGUUAGCUGCGGGAUGCGGAUUUAGGUAAUAGGAAUUAUCCUUAAUGGAACUAUCUCUUAUGACCCACGUGUUCACUUUCUCACAUGGGUGCCAUUAUCACAUCCACAUGUAACCGCCCUUAUUUAAUCUCAUUCCUUAUCCUACGGUCCCUCCUUCUCCACCUGUACCCUUCCCCGGCUUUUCCUCCGAACGUCUACGUGGCUCUCGCACGAGCCUCCACCGGCUUCUACUAUUAGUCAUUACGUCUCAUACUUUUCUAUCUUCUAGCUCUUUAUUGCAUUACCAAAUCCAAUGCUUUGCCACUUCUUUUUAACCCAAGAAGCCACAAAGGGGGAAUAAUUGUUUUCGAAAUAUAGCAGAGAUGGUGCGACAGAACGGUGCUCGAGGAGAGAGAAGAGAUGGUGGAUACAAGGGAGUGAGGAUGAGGAAAUGGGGGAAAUGGGUAGCGGAGAUUCGUCAACCAAACAGCAGAGGGAGGAUAUGGUUGGGUUCUUAUAAUACUGCUGAGGAAGCUGCUAGAGCCUACGAUGCUGCCCUUUUUUGCCUUCGUGGACCUUCUGCGACUCUCAAUUUCCCAAUGAAUCCGCCGGAUAUUCAUUUAACGACAGACCUUUCUCCGUUGCAGAUUCGGGAGGCCGCGCUUAGGCACUCCAGGAGGGGGGUUUCUGAGAUAACGGCGUCACAGGAUUUGAGUUCUCGGGUUCCGGCAUCUGGGUUGUUUCAGGAGUCGUCAGAACUGCGGGGAGAGGUUUAUUUGCCUUCUACUGAGCAUAGAGUAGAAAGUUUGGACAGGAUUUCGGGUGGUGCAUAUUAUCAAGCAUCUGGUGUGUGGACCGUUUAAUAGUUUUUUUUUUCUUUCUCCCUUUUUUUUAAUACGUAUAUUUUAUAUCCCCUCCUCUUCUAUAAUAUACUGACUUUCUAGGGUCCAUCUGCUUAGAUUUCAUUUUGAGUUACACGGUGCCGGAAGGCAAGAAUUUUGUAUGGUUGUGCUUAGAAUAGAUAGCAGAGUUUGUCCAAAGGGAAGUUAUAAAGAAAAUCUUGUGCCUCGCACAGGUUCCACCAACUUUUCCCUCUUCUGAAACAUAAUAUUAACGGAGAUAGAAUUCAGUUUCAGUUUCAGCCCAGUUGCG